rnacentral:rRNA from 1 species
AGGCAUGCGGCGUGCUAUACAUGCAAGUCGAGCGGACAGAUGGGAGCUUGCUCCCUGAUGUUAGCGGCGGACGGGUGAGUAACACGUGGGUAACCUGCCUGUAAGACUGGGAUAACUCCGGGAAACCGGGGCUAAUACCGGAUGGUUGUUUGAACCGCAUGGUUCAAACAUAAAAGGUGGCUUCGGCUACCACUUACAGAUGGACCCGCGGCGCAUUAGCUAGUUGGUGAGGUAACGGCUCACCAAGGCAACGAUGCGUAGCCGACCUGAGAGGGUGAUCGGCCACACUGGGACUGAGACACGGCCCAGACUCCUACGGGAGGCAGCAGUAGGGAAUCUUCCGCAAUGGACGAAAGUCUGACGGAGCAACGCCGCGUGAGUGAUGAAGGUUUUCGGAUCGUAAAGCUCUGUUGUUAGGGAAGAACAAGUACCGUUCGAAUAGGGCGGUACCUUGACGGUACCUAACCAGAAAGCCACGGCUAACUACGUGCCAGCAGCCGCGGUAAUACGUAGGUGGCAAGCGUUGUCCGGAAUUAUUGGGCGUAAAGGGCUCGCAGGCGGUUUCUUAAGUCUGAUGUGAAAGCCCCCGGCUCAACCGGGGAGGGUCAUUGGAAACUGGGGAACUUGAGUGCAGAAGAGGAGAGUGGAAUUCCACGUGUAGCGGUGAAAUGCGUAGAGAUGUGGAGGAACACCAGUGGCGAAUGCGACUCUCUGGUCUGUAACUGACGCUGAGGAGCGAAAGCGUGGGGAGCGAACAGGAUUAGAUACCCUGGUAGUCCACGCCGUAAACGAUGAGUGCUAAGUGUUAGGGGGUUUCCGCCCCUUACUGCUGCAGCUAACGCAUUAAGCACUCCGCCUGGGGAGUACGGUCGCAAGACUGAAACUCAAAGGAAUUGACGGGGGCCCGCACAAGCGGUGGAGCAUGUGGUUUAAUUUGAAACACGCAUAACAACCUUACAACGUCUUGACAUCCUCUGAAAUCCUAGAGAUAUGACGUCCCUUAGGGGCAUAUGACAGUGGUGCAUGGAUGUCGUCUGCUCCUGUCGUGAUAUCUUUGGGAUAAGUACCUCUACGAGCGCCAACCUUGAAUCUAGUUGCCAGCAUUUCACUUGUGCACUCUUAUGGUCACAGUACGGAGAUCAAACUGGAGAGAGGUGCGGCAUGAACGAUUAG